ACGGGGUGCAGCAGGCGAGAAAACUUUGCAAUGUGCGAAAGCACGACAAGGUUAAUCCGAGUGGUUUCUGCUAAAGGAACCUUUUGACAGUCCUAGAAACACUGUUGAAUAAGGGGUGGGCAAGUUCUGGUGUCAGCCGCCGCGGUAAAACCAGCACCUCAAGUGGUCAGGAUGAUUAUUGGGCCUAAAGCAUCCGUAGCCGGCUCUGUUAGUUUUCGGUUAAAUCUGUACGCUCAACGUACAGGCUGCCGGGAAUACUGCAGAGCUAGGGAGUGGGAGAGGUAGACGGUACUCGGUAGGAAGGGGUAAAAUCCUUUGAUCUAUUGAUGACCACCUGUGGCGAAGGCGGUCUACCAGAACACGUCCGACGGUGAGGGAUGAAAGCUGGGGGAGCAAACCGGAUUAGAUACCCGGGUAGUCCCAGCUGUAAACUAUGCAAACUCAGUGAUGCAUUGGCUUGUGGCCAAUGCAGUGCUGCAGGGAAGCCGUUAAGUUUGCCGCCUGGGAAGUACGUACGCAAGUAUGAAACUUAA
rnacentral:rRNA from 1 species